GCCUUCGUGGUGUAAUGGUCAGCACACUCGGCGAGCAAUCGAGAGGCCCAGGUUCGAAUCCAGGCGAGGGAA